CGAAUCAAUGGCGAGCUGACAGGGCAUAGGCUAUAUAGACUCGUGACUCGGCAGUUUCCUCACUUUCUAAAGACAGGUGUAUGAAAGUCAAGAGAGGCGUUACCUCCCUCAGCUCUCGCUUAUUAUUACAGGAAGUGUGGGGUAGCAGUGAUCAACAGUGGAAGGCAGCGGAUCGUAUUUUGCCCUCGAGAAAGCCUCUCAUCACUGAUCUCUAACAUGAAUGAAGCAAAGCUGACCUUCAUGUUUCUGCUGCUGUGUGCUGCUGAACUCAUUCAGUGCUUUCCAGUUACAGCAAGUCAAGGUGGAAACCGAUCAGUGUGGCUGUUUUUCUGCAAGGAUCCAGGAUGUGCCACUAAUGUCACUUGUGUGUUUUGCAACGACAACUUAAUCUGGAGACACAAUCACAUUGCAAAUUGUACAGGGACUCCACCACUCAAUACUGUCUGCCAACAUGGGGGUCGUGCAUUCGUUUCCAUAGAUACACACGGUGACUGCGAAUUUGAAGGAAAAGACGGUUAUAUUAGGACAGCAAAAUGUACAGACCACAGCAACAUUUGUGUUUUCAUCAGUGCUACCACAUCACCACAAGUCACCAGAGAUGCUACGCCAAACCACCGUACAAAAAGUGGAUACAUUCUCGGUGGAGUUUGUAAGAUCGGAGUAUCAGUAAAUAUGUCACUUUGUCUGCUCUGCCAUGUUUCUUCUGUUUUUAGACAGGCAACUCUUGACAGCAGCCAGUGGUAAAUCUUUCUUUCACCUUUCACAUCACCGAUAUCUGCCGUGAUUUAACUUAUUUGUUGAAUUCAAGAAAAAUAAUGCUUUUUGCUACUAGGCCGACGUGCUUUUACUCUCCCAUCCUCUGUCUUCUUGCUUUCGCUCAGGGCUGAAAUAUUUGUCUAAUCAAUGCUAACAAUCAGGUGAGAUCAAACUUUUUUUGACGGGUUGCAUUUAUUGUGUAUUGAAACACUCAUCUUAAAUAUGUAUCUCUUGGUUCCACAGGGGGUUCUUUCCUGCUAAUAGUAGGCUUGUUUCUGAUUGCACAUUUCCGUAAUUUCUGUAAACAGAGACAAAACAGAGAACUAAAUCAACAUCACACAAGUGACUCUGGUGUGACUGAACCCCUAAGAGAGAUGCAAAGCCCUGGAGAAACAAGUGGGAGUGAUAGUCGUUGUGGGCCUGGAUUGAACGAAAACAGCAGCAGCGCUCUAUCUCCGUGUGACAGUGGAUCUUAAACUCCUCUUCUUAUGUUUUUGUUCUCAAGUUUUAUGUUUCUUAUUUUGUUAAAUAAACAUGUUAAGUAUGAAA